GUGAACGUUAGUAUUAACAGAAAGAAAUCCAAAAAGAACGAAAAUGCACAACGAAUAAAAUAGUAUGAAGCAAGAUAAUUAAGUCCGAAAAUAAAAAUUCCGUACCAUGGAAAAAGGUAAUGGAGAUCACUUACAAACAGAAAAGUCGCUGCUGAGAUGCAAUAACAAGAGGAGAUGAGAGAUGACAAAAACUUUUGGGAAACUUAGGAAGAAGAGGAUAUGGAAGUGACGGGACGAACAUCGUUAAAAUUUGGUUCCAUGGUAGGAAGUUUGAAGGCGAUUGAAGGACCUGCCUUUAACAUCGGAGCAGACUUCGAGGACUUGUGUAAGUCAAUAAGUAGUUGAGCAUAAACCUUGGUUUCCUCGGAUUCACGGACACGUUUAACAGAUUUAGGGCUUCCAGAGUACAAACAUCCUUCUACACUAUUGCAAACACCACGUUUACGUAUCUUCUCCAUUACUGCUGGGUUUUCAGGUGUAAAAUUAAUUUCGUUUUGGGGAGACAUAGAUACACGAAUUCUUCCAUUUUCGGAUGGAACGGACUUUGCAUCUUUACUGUCACUAUCCACACGAAUUCUCUUGGCCGAAUCACCCAAGAAGGCAUGAGGAUCUAGCUCAAUGGGAAUCUCUGUAUAAACGGCAUUCUUAGCACAGGGCGGCUCGACCGGAUAAUUGUACUGAUUUACAUAACGGUUUUCAUUCUCAGUAGUCGCAGAAUCUGGCUUGACAACUUCAGAGUUUACUUCGACUUCCUUGGGGCUAUCCAAAGUAGAAUUCUUCAACUGAGCCUGCAGCAUCUCCAACUGCUCAAGCAGCUCGUUGUUCUCCUUCUGUAACUUUCCGAUCGUAUCCUGAUAUUGUUUUUCACGAACACGGAAUUUGGCUUCCUCGACCGACAAAGCUGAAGUCGGCCCAGGUCUUGGUUUAAUAGGUGCCUUUCUUCUUCCCAGAGCAUCUAACGCAGGUUUCCUUCCUGGUUUGGGACGAGGAGGAACAACCCAUUGUUUAGAGACGCGAAUCAUCGGCUUUUGAGGUGCUGGAGAAGCAGAAGAUGAUUUUUCCACUUCCGAUGGACUUUUAGACGAUUCCAUGAGCAAAAAAAAAGUUGGGGGGAUAGGAGAUAUCAAGUACAGAACUACACUUUUAGCAAAAUAUAUAAAUCUUUAUUUUCCAAUACUCCAAUGCCUCUACUGACCAAGCUUAAAAAU